GCCAGGCGCGGUGGCUCACGCCUGUAAUCCUAGCAUUUUGGGAGGCUGAGGUGGGCGGAUCACCUGAGGUCAGGAGUUCGAGACCAGCCUGGCCAACAUGGUGAAACCCCAUCUCUA
rnacentral:SRP_RNA from 1 species